rnacentral:misc_RNA from 1 species
AAAUAUUAAAAAAAAAACCCGUAGCAUCGUGUGGGGCUUUAAAGCUUGUUUCAUACUAAAGCAUUUUGUCAAGUUCUUGUAACAAAAACAUUGGAAUUUAUCAUUGUUAGUUAAUUUAUCUCUCUCUGCCAAUUGUAAGCCUGAAAAGCGGAAAUAUCCCUUCAUUAUUUCCUCUUAUCUUCUUUUUCCCCUUAGAAAGUGUUAAAGUUAGGGGCAAUUUGGAACUCUCUUUUGCUAUUUUAUUAGAACCAUAGAAAUUUGUGUUCGUACAAAGAAAUUGUAUUAAUUCAGCUUAUAUUUGAUGUCUUAGCUUUAAAUUACUUUUGUGGUUCAUUUUCUAGAAAAACUACUUUAUGUGCCUAAUUAGCCAUGGUUCUGCAACUACUUAUGUUUGAUAUUUCAAUCCUAAUGGGUCUGUUACUUCCUAUGUUUAAUUAGUUGACUUAAAUUUGAGCAGGCAUUAGCGAUAGUAAUGCAGCUACCUUUGGGCUUGGUGCCGUUCAGGUUAUUGCUACCGGUGUCACUACAUGGUUAGC